CAUUCAUAGUCAGUUCCUAUAUUUAAGGUGUUAAGUCGGAUUUUAAGUCGUCUUAAGAUUUUGUUUAGCCAAUGAAAUGGCCGUAUAGCAUCUUGAAAUCAUGUUUAAAAUGAUUUUAAAUAUAAGAACGGAUUAUGAAUGUUAGUUUGUGUUUGAAGUGUAAAAAGUGUACAAAAGUGUACAAAGUGUACAAAAUAUCAAUUCGAAAGACAUUCUUUUUGGAUGCAGAAGCUUUGAUGGAGCAAUCGAUGUAGAGAGAUUAGAGGAUACUCUAGUUUUCACAAUUAUCGACUCGUCACGGUAAUAUGCUCAGCCGCCGCCGUGCGGCGCCACCGGCGGCAGCAGUGGCGCCGCGCGCCCGUAGCUCCACGUUCGCUUCGUGCCGCGCUUCAGUCGGAUGCUGACACUCGAACGGCGCAUUCGUUAUCGUGGGGAGGUGUUCUCGCAGCGCGCGCGCGCGGAAAUCCUUCUCUGCGCUUUGUCACACACUCAUUCUCUUUCUCUCUCUCUCUCUCUCUCUCUUCUUCUCUA
rnacentral:misc_RNA from 1 species